rnacentral:tRNA from 1 species
UCCCUGGCAGUCCAGUGGCUAGGACUCGGUGCUUUCACUGCUGGGGCCCAGGUUCGAUCCCUGAUUGGGGAA